GGAUCGGGCGCUUAUACCACGGUCUUGAAAACCGUCGAUGGGCAACUAUCCUAGAGUUCGAAUCUCUACGCUUCCGCCA
rnacentral:tRNA from 1 species